AAUAACAUUGUUUUGAAUGAUCACAAAUUUGAUGUAUGUAUUUUAUUGAUAUUAACCAAUUUAUCCUUCAAAUGUCUAAAAGGCAGUUAGAACUAGAUCAGCAGGUUAGAUCAUGAACACACAACGAGCGGGAAGGGAUACGCCUUUCUGAAUAGUCAAAUGAGGGCGGAAGAGGAGGUACAAAGAAUAUUUCACUUGGCAGUAUAUUCUUUACAGUUAGAAAGUCAAUAGUUACAAGAAAUGCUCAACAAAUGUAUGGCUCAGCGAUGAUGCACAUCGGGACAUUGGUAGUUAUUUUUAUACAUUAUGAUCUGAUGUGUUCCUUGAAGGAUGAUGUGAAGAGAAUAACAG